rnacentral:rRNA from 1 species
UACGAGUGGUGCAAGCGUUAUUCGGAUUUAUUGGGCGUAAAGGGUGCGUAGACGGUAUAUUAAGUCAACUGUUAAAUUCUUCGGCCUAACCGGAGAUCAGCGGUAGAAACUGAUAUGCUAGAGGGUGGAAGAGAGAAGUGGAAUUCUCGGAGUAGCGGUAAAAUGCGUAGAUCUCGAGAGGAACACCGAUGGCGAAGGCAGCUUCUUGGUCCACACCUGACGUUGAGGCACGAAAGCGUGGGGAGCAAACAGG